AUGGCCAUAUGCAAUGUGGGGGAUGGUAGAAGUGCUCUUUUCUGGUCUGAUCUAUGGCACAAUGCUUGUCGGCAAAACACAUUACCUCAUUUAUUCUCUUUUCUCAAGGAUCACCACUAUACUGUGAAUUCAGUCUUGUAGCUUGAAUACUUAGAGGGCCUUUUCCACCUACCUCUCUCAACCCAAGCAUAUGAAGAAUUUGAAAUUCUGGAAGAUAUUUGUGAAGAUUUAAGAAGAUCAAAAUUCUUAGAUUGCAUUGACACAUGGAGCUACAUCUGGGGCAAUGAGAAAUUCACUGUAGCCAAGGCCUACAAAACAAUGAUGGGAAUAAGAGUGGUGCCCCAACAAUUUCAAUGGAUCUGGAAUAGUUCUUGUCAACCAAAACAUAAGGUGUUCUUCUGGAGACUACUGCGUGACAGACUAAACACAAGGAACUUGUUAAGAAGGAAAACUUUUCAGUUGGAAAACUACAAUUGUGCAAUUUACAAUUGUCAACAAGUGGAAACACUACAACAUCUUUUCUGGACAUGUCCCUUUGCCACACAAUGUUGGGAUCAACUUUUCCCUAAUAGACAAAACAAUGUCUCGGUGUUGGAGGCAUUUGCAGGCUUAAAGCAACAGUUGCAAGUCCCUUUCUUCAUGGAAAUUAUCAUAUUGGCACCAUGGGUUAUUUGGAUCACUAGAAACAAUUAUAUCUCCGAAAACAUCCAACCCAAUUUGCAGAGGUGGAAGGACACUUUCAAGACAGAAUUGCACAACCUCAAAUUCAGGAUCAAGAGAAAGUAUGCUAGGGAGUUCUUUAAUUGGUUAAACUCCCUGUAUUUGUAA
rnacentral:rRNA from 1 species